AGCCUUCUGUAUUUGUUCUGAGAUUUCAUCAGCGAUCAAACUGUUGGGGCUGAUGCAACUUCACAGAUAAGUGAAGUG
rnacentral:pre_miRNA from 1 species